AUUGAACGCUGGCGGCAUGCCUUACACAUGCAAGUCGAACGGCAGCACGGGAGCAAUCCUGGUGGCGAGUGGCGAACGGGUGAGUAAAGUAUCGGAACGUGCCCAGUCGUGGGGGAUCACGUAGCGAAAGUUACGCUAAUACCGCAUACGAUCUAUGGAUGAAAGCGGGGGAUCGCAAGACCUCGCGCGAGUGGAGCGGCCGAGAUCAGAUUAGGUAGUUGGUGGGCUAAAGGCCCACCAAGCCGACGAUCUGCAGCUGGUCUGAGAGGACGACCAGCCACACUGGGACUGAGACACGGCCCAGACUCCUACGGGAGGCAGCAGUGGGGAAUUUUGGACAAGGGGCGAAAGCCUGAUCCAGCCAUGCCGCGUGCAGGAUGAAGGCCUUCGGGUUGUAAACUGCUUUUGUACGGAACGAAAAGGACUGCCCUAAUACGGUGGUCCCAUGACGGUACCGUAAGAAUAAGCACCGGCUAACUACGUGCCAGCCGCCGCCGUAA
rnacentral:rRNA from 1 species